rnacentral:rRNA from 1 species
UACAGAGGUCUCAAGCGUUGUUCGGAUUCAUUGGGCGUAAAGGGUGCGUAGGCGGCGUGGUAAGUCGGGUGUGAAAUCUCGGAGCUUAACUCCGAAACUGCAUUCGAUACUGCCGUGCUUGAGGACUGGAGAGGAGACUGGAAUUUACGGUGUAGCGGUGAAAUUCGUAGAUAUCGAGAGGAACACCGGUGGCGAAGGCGGCCAACUGGACGAAUACUGACGCUGAGACUCGAAAGCGUGGGGAGCAAACAGG